GCUUAGAGUGGCUCCUGGGAAUUCUUGAUUUCCCAGCAUCCCUAGUCUUCCACGUGGACAGGCAGAGAGGGCUUCAGAGGCCAGAGACCUCAGCCAAAGAAGAUAGUCACGUGAGCAGGCUGUGAUAAGUCUGGUCCACGUGCUAUGAAGUGAUGAGGGUACGAGGAUGUGGCUGAAUCACUAACAGCAUCUGCUGUAUUUUGUUAUUUUUAUUGCAUGAAGUUCUGUAACAUGAAGAGAGUUAGGAACACAUAUUCAUUGAUGUAGGAGAAAUCACUGCCAUUUGAUUUGUCAACCUAUAAUCAGUUCCCAGGGCUUGGAACCUAUCAUUCUUGUGUUGAAGGAUUCAUUUCUGGUGGAUGUUAGAGCAUCCAGGGACAUAUUUUAAAUUGGGAGCUAGAGAGUUCCAGAAAAACAUCUACUUCUGCUUUAUUGACUACGUCAAAGCCUUUCACUAUGUGGGUCACAACAAAUUAUGGAAAAUUCUUCAAGAGAUGGGAUUACCAGACCACCUUACCUGCCUCCUGAGAAAUCUGUAUGCAGAUCAAGAAGCAACAGUUAGAACUGGACAUGGAACAACAGACUGGUUCCAAAUUGGGAAAGAAUAUGUCAAGGCUGUAUAUUGUCACCCUGCUUAUUUCACUUAUAUGCAGAGUACAUCAUGCGAAAUCCUGGGCUGGAUGAAGUACAAGCUGGAAUCAAGAUUGCUAGGAGAAAUAUCAAUAACCUCAGAUAUGCAGAUGACACCACCCUUAUGGCAGAAAGUGAAGAACUAAAGAGCCUCUUGAAAGUGAAAGAGGAGAGUGAAAAAGUUGGCUUAAAACUCAACAUUCAGAAAGCUGAGAUCAUGGCAUCUGGUCCCAUCACUUCCUGGCAAAUAGAUGGGGAAACAAUGGAAACAAAGGGCCAGUCCUGUGCUUCGUUUUUGACUUUGAACCUUGGCUGUAAUGAAGCUUCUCUGCUGUGUUUAAGCUUUGGCUGGUCUCCUAUAGAUCCAGAGCCAAUUGAAG
ensembl:lncRNA